CUGUUUCCAGUAAAAUACCUUGGUAGGAAAUCCCUGACCUGCAGUCCCUUUGGGGCAAGCGCUGUGGAGAAGUUCCUCUGUGUGAUUAUUUAGUACAUGAUCCUUGUCCCUGGAUAUCUGGUAGGACUCCUUCAGGGUUUUUCUUUUGGGAUGUGUGUAUGCAGUUGUUCCUCAAUCCAGCCCGUAUAAAUACAAGGUAAGCUCAUAUAAAGUGAACUUAUUUCUUCUCUGGCCCACAGCUUCUUACCCAGCGUCUGAAAAACAUGCAUGUUUUCUGUUUCAGAAAUCCUGAGGAAACAAACUUUUUAGUACUUUACCAUGAGAGGAACUGACUUAUGGCGAUCAGUCAUCCCCUUUUCAUUCACUUUUGUGUCUGGCCAUCAGGGUAAUAAUGGUAAUUAGCUAACAUCAGACUGGUUGAACAACAAUGCCCACAAGAUAUUAGUUGAUGACAAGACACCAUCAGGAUUCGGCACUUGAUCCUAGCUAAGUGUUUUUAAAGCAACUUGUGAAGACUGAUUAUAAAAUUUAUCCGGCAUUUGUUGGAAAGAACCAUUGGUGGUAUUGAGGCUUGGCAGAAAGCUUGGCAUAUGGUAGAAAGUCAAUGAAUCUUUGUUGGGGAACAGAGUGAUUGAAAACUGAGCAGAAGACUCUCAUGCGUGUACAUCUGAGAGUGGGCGUGAACUAUAUAUACGAAGACCACUUUGAAACUGUUAGCAGUCAUGUGUGGCUACUGCACUGGCUAGCUCAUAUGGUAUGUAGAACAUUUCCAUGAUCACAGAAAAUUUUACUGGAUGAACCACUCCAGUGAACAAGUCUUAAUGAAGUGACAGAACCCAUCCCAGGUAUGACUUUUGCAUGCUCAAUUUGCUGUGAUAUAGUUAAGGUAUAUUGUAAGGUUUCAAGAUAUAGUAUAAAGGAAGUAAUUAAACCAUGUUUUAUGUAUACUUUCCAGCAAGGAACUUUGCUUUUAUUCCAAGAGAAGGAAAUUGUUGUUUUGGUUUUUUCUAUAGAGCACAUAUCUAAGAU
ensembl:lncRNA